GAUGAACGCUGGCGGUAUCCUUAACACAUGCAAGUCGUACGAAGAUAAAAUUGUGCUUGCACGAUUUUAUACUUAGUGGCGGACGGGUGAGUAUCACGUAAGAAUCUACCUUUUGGCGAGGGACAACCACUGGAAACGGUGGCUAAUACCUCAUAUAACUGAGAAGUGAAAGAUGAAAAUCACCAAGAGAUGAGCUUGCGUCUGAUUAGCUAGUUGGUAAGGUAAAGGCUUACCAAGGCGACGAUCAGUAGCUGGUCUGAGAGGAUGAUCAGCCACACUGGGACUGAGACACGGCCCAGACUCCUACGGGAGGCAGCAGUGAGGAAUUUUCCGCAAUGGGCGAAAGCCUGACGGAGCAAUACCGCGUGAAGGAUUAAGGCCUAUGGGUUGUAAACUUCUUUUCUCAGAGAAGAAUUUUGACGGUAUCUGAGGAAUAAGCAUCGGCUAACUCUGUGGGUAAU
rnacentral:rRNA from 1 species